rnacentral:lncRNA from 1 species
GGGGUGGGGCGGGCUUUCCCUGGGUGGGCGCAGCGGCUUCCUGGGUCCCCCUCACGCUCUGGGUCAGAGUUCCUUUACAGGCGGACCUGAGAGGCAACUCACCGACUCCUGCCCUGGACCCUCCUGCGCCACUGAACCCCCUGACCUGGGAGCCUCGGAACCUAGGGCUCAGGAGAUGAACCAGGACUUAUCCGAAGGUACCAAGUGAACUUCUAGGAAAAGUCCAAUUCUCAGAUGCUGGAUGUCUUCCAAAAAUGAAGCAAAUUAGUAACUUAGUAGCUGAGUCAACUAAUCCUGUUAGAUGGUCAACACUGGUUUUUUUAUUUUAAUAUUUUUAAGUGGCAACUCUAGUGUGUGAGAAAAUUAAUGUGACAGCUGAAUUUGUAGAAAGCUGCUUUGACUCUCUUGGGCCCCUUCAUAAGCCCUGGAACUAAAUAAAAGUCUAGUGAAUACAGGUUUGCCUUGAUGAUCUGGCAUGUUAAUAGAAGCCACGUAUUGGUCUCUGUGUUAUCUCAUUGGAUUUCCUGCCGACCAUGGAGAUUGACGGGUUUUAUUAGCCCUCACAGGAAAACUGAUUCUCAAAGUCAAAAAUCUCAAGCAUAGAAUACAA